rnacentral:rRNA from 1 species
AGAAUGAACGCUGGCGGCGUGCUUAACACAUGCAAGUCGAACGGAAUACAAGGAGCUUGCUCCGAACUAUUUAGUGGCGAACGGGUGAGUAACACGUGAGCAACCUGCCUCGAAGACUGGGAUAACCCCGGGAAACCGGAGCUAAUACCGGAUACCCCCACCGGGUCGCAUGGCCUGGUGAGGAAAUGGAUUCCGCUUUGAGAGGGGCUCGCGGCCUAUCAGCUUGAUGGUGGGGUAAUGGCCUACCAUGGCACCGACGGGUAGCUGGUCUGAGAGGACGAUCAGCCACACUGGGACUGAGACACGGCCCAGACUCCUACGGGAGGCAGCAGUGGGGAAUCUUGCGCAAUGGGCGAAAGCCUGACGCAGCAACGCCGCGUGUGGGACGAAGGCCUUCUGGGUUGUAAACCACUUUCAGCAGGGACGAUUGUGACGGUACCUGCAGAAGAGCCCGGCAACUACGCGCCAGCAGCCGCGGU